CGGGUGAGUNACGCGUGGGAACAUACCUUUUGGUUCGGAACAACACAGGGAAACUUGUGCUAAUACCGGAUAAGCCCUUACGGGGAAAGAUUUAUCGCCGAAAGAUUGGCCCGCGUCUGAUUAGCUAGUUGGUGAGGUAACGGCUCACCAAGGCGACGAUCAGUAGCUGGUCUGAGAGGAUGAUCAGCCACAUUGGGACUGAGACACGGCCCAAACUCCUACGGGAGGCAGCAGUGGGGAAUAUUGGACAAUGGGCGCAAGCCUGAUCCAGCCAUGCCGCGUGAGUGAUGAAGGCCCUAGGGUUGUAAAGCUCUUUUGUGCGGGAAGAUAAUGACGGUACCGCAAGAAUAAGCCCCGGCUAACUUCGUGCCAGCAGCCGCGGUAAUACGAAGGGGGCUAGCGUUGCUCGGAAUCACUGGGCGUAAAGGGUGCGUAGGCGGGUCUUUAAGUCAGGGGUGAAAUCCUGGAGCUCANCUCCAGAACUGCCUUUGAUACUGAAG
rnacentral:rRNA from 1 species